rnacentral:rRNA from 1 species
ACUCUCUCCAAGGAGCUCGGCAAAUUACCACCGUAACUUCGGAAGAGGGUGGGCCCUCCGUAGGUGUAGUCGUACAGACGAAGCCGAUGAGGGUUGCAGAGAAAUGGCGGUAGCGACUGUUUACCAAAAACACAGGACUCUGCGAAGACGACAAGUCGACGUAUAGGGUCUGACUCCUGCCCGGUGCUGGAAGGUUAAGGGGAUUCGUCAGCCGCAAGGCGAAGCGAUGAUCCGAAGCCCCAGUAAACGGCGGCCGUAACAAUAACGGUCCUAAGGUAGCGAAAUUCCUUGUCGGGUAAGUUCCGACCUGCACGAAUGGAGUAACGACUUCCGCGCUGUCUCGGAGAGGGACUCAGCGAAAUUGAAAUAGCUGUGCCGAUGCAGUUUACCCGCAGCAAGACGGAAAGACCCCGUGAACCUUUACUACAACUUGACAGUGACACUAGGGAUUGACUGUGUAGGAUAGGUGGGAGCCUUUGAAACCGGGCCGCUAGGUUCGGUGGAGGCAACGGUGAAAUACCACCCUGUUGAUUUCUGGUGUCUAACCGUGUCCCAUAAUCUGGGAUCGGGACACUGUCUGGUGGGUAGUUUGACUGGGGCGGUCGCCUCCCAAAGCGUAACGGAGGCGCGCGAUGGUUCCCUCAGCCCGAUUGGAAACCGGGCGGCGAGUGCAAUGGCGUAAGGGAGCUUAACUGCGAGACAGACAUGUCGAGCAGGUGCGAAAGCAGGUCAUAGUGAUCCGGUGGUUCUGAAUGGAAGGGCCAUCGCUCAACGGAUAAAAGGUACUCCGGGGAUAACAGGCUUAUCUCCUCCAAGAGUUCACAUCGACGAGGAGGUUUGGCACCUCGAUGUCGGCUCAUCGCAUCCUGGGGCUGGAGCAGGUCCCAAGGGUUUGCUGUUCGCCAAUUAAAGCGGUACGCGAGCUGGGUUCAAAACGUCGUGAGACAGUUUGGUCCCUAUCUGCUGUGGGCGUAGGAUACUUGAGAGGAUCUGUCCUUAGUACGAGAGGACCGGGAUGGAGACACCUCUGGUGUACCAGUUGUCACGCCAGUGGCAUCGCUGGGUAGCCAUGUGUCGAUUGGAUAACCGCUGAAAGCAUCUAAGCGGGAAACCGACCUCAAGAAUAGGUAUCCCGGGGGAAACCCCCUGAAGACCCGUCGAAGACUACGACGUUGAUAGGCCGGGUGUGUAAGCGUGGCAACACGUUGAGCUAACCGGUACUAAUUGGUCGUGCGGCUUACUUUA